UACGGAGGGGACUAGCGUUGUUCGGAAUUACUGGGCGUAAAGCGCACGUAGGCGGAUUUGUAAGUCAGGGGUGAAAUCCCGAGGCUCAACCUCGGAACUGCCUUUGAUACUGCAAAUCUCGAGUCCGGAAGAGGUGAGUGGAAUUCCUAGUGUAGAGGUGAAAUUCGUAGAUAUUAGGAAGAACGCCAGUGGCGAAGGCGGCAUCCUGGACCAAUAUUGACGCUGAGGAGCGAAAGCCAGGGGAGCAAACGGG
rnacentral:rRNA from 1 species